UACGGAGGGUGCAAGCGUUAUCCGGAUUCACUGGGUUUAAAGGGUGCGUAGGAGGGCAGGUAAGUCAGUGGUGAAAUCUUCGAGCUUAACUCGGAAACUGCCGUUGAUACUAUCUGUCUUGAAUACCGUGGAGAUGAGCGGAAUAUGUCAUGUAGCGGUGAAAUGCUUAGAUAUGACAUAGAACACCAAUUGCGAAGGCAGCUCGUUACACGAAUAUUGACACUGAGGCACGAAAGCGUGGGGAUCAAACAGG
rnacentral:rRNA from 1 species